AAAUGAAUUGACGGGGACCCGCACAAGCAGCGGAGCAUGUUGUUUAAUUCGAUGAUACGCGAAAAACCUUACCAAGACUUGACAUUUGAUGCAUAUCUAGGAAACUAGAGAAGUUAUAGCAAUAUAACAUCAAAACAGAUGGUGCAUGGUUGUCGUCAGCUCGUGUCGUAAGAUGUUGGGUUAAGUCCCGCAACGAGCGCAACCCUUGUCAAUAGUUGCCAAUAUUAAGUUAGGAACUCUAUUGAGACUGCCGCAGAUAAUGCGGAGGAAGGUGAGGAUGACGUCAAAUCAUCAUGCCUCUUACGUCUUGGGCUACAAACGUGCUACAAUGGCCACUACAAAGAGUCGCAAAACAGCAAUGUCGAGCAAAUCUCAAAAAGGUGGCCCCAGUUCGGAUUGAGGGCUGAAACUCGCCCUCAUGAAGCCGGAGUUGCUAGUAAUCCCAAAUCAGAAUGUUGGGGUGAAUGCGUUCCCGGGUCUUGUACACACCGCCCGU
rnacentral:rRNA from 1 species